rnacentral:rRNA from 1 species
GACGAACGCUGGCGGCGUGCUUAACACAUGCAAGUCGAACGGUGAGGCCCAGCUUUCUUGGUGGGCUCGAGUCGCGAACGGGUGAGUAACACGGGAGUAACCUCCCCUGGACUUUGGGAUAACUUCAGGAAACUGGGGCUUAUACCGGAUAGGAGCUCCUGCUUCAUGGUGUGGGUUGGAAAGUUUGGGCGGUUGGGGUUGGACUCGCGGCUUAUCAGCUUGUUGGUGGGGUAGUGGCUGACCAAGGCUUUGACGGGUAGCAGGCCUGAGAGGGUGAGCGGCCACAUUGGGACUGAGAUACGGCCCAGACUCCUACGGGAGGCAGAAGUGGGGAAUAUUGCACAAUGGGCGGAAGCCUGAUGCAGCAACGCCGCGUGCGGGAUGACGGCCUUCGGGUUGUAAACCGCUUUCGCCUGUGACGAAGCGAGAGUGACGGUAAUGGGUAAAGAAGCACCGGCUAACUACGUG